rnacentral:misc_RNA from 1 species
CAUAUACAGUAAUUGGAUGUGUUAUCUGAUUCACUUCAUCCUAGAGUGGCGGGUUAUUGUCCUCUGAUCCUGCAGAUGUCUCAGUUAGAGACACAAUUGAUGGAAUACACAGGCGACGGUUGUGUUGACCGAGGUGAUGAUUUAUGAUGUGGCAGUAAUAGGAGCUGGGGCAGCUGGCCUCACCGCCGCUCACAAGCUUCUCCAGGCGGACCCAAACCUCACCCUAGUUGUUCUUGAGGCCAAGGACAGAGUCGGUGGUCGCACACUGACGGUGCCUGUGGACAUCGGUGACGGCAAGACUGACACUUUUGACAUGGGCGGCCAGUGGGUUGGAUCAAGCCAACAUCAUGUCCUCAACAUGAUGGAGGAACUGGGCCUGAGGACCUACCCGCAGUACACGGAGGGCACGAAGGUGAUGCAGCUCGGAGACAACAAGAUACGCACCUACACCGGAGACAUACCCUCACUAGGCUCCCUCAGGGGUCUCAUCCAGCUCCAACUGUUUAUAUGGAAGGCUGAGCGCAUGGCGGCCAAGGUGCCCAUAACAGACCCGUACAGCAGCAAGUAUGCGGCCGAGCUGGGCGGAGAGACGGUGAGCUCCUUUAUGAAGAAACACAUAUCCAACAAGGCGGCCAUGGAAGCUAUUGACGUGGGCUGUAAGGCGUCUUUUGGGACAGAAGCAUCACGGAUCAGCGCCCUGUUCUUCAUGGCCUACGCUAACUCUGCCGGAGGAGUCAUGAAGGUGUUUGAGACCAAGAAAGAUGCCGCCCAGGAGUUACGAGUCAUGGGAGGAACACAGCAAAUAUCAGAGCUUCUGGCAGACAAGAUUGGGAAAGAAAAAGUCCUCCUCAGCCACCCAGUUUGUGAAAUGAAGCAGACGACAGACUCUGUGGAGGUGAAAACGGAAAAUGGAAAAUGCUUCACUGCAAGGAGGGUCAUCAUGACAGCUCCGCCAAAUCAACUUAUCAAGAUGAAGUUUGACCCACCUCUACCACCAUACAAGCAGCUGAUAUAUGAAAACCAUCCUAUUGGUCACCUCAUCAAGUUUUACGUGACAUACAAAAAGGCAUUCUGGCGAGACAACGGAUAUUCAGGUGAAAUUGUGAGUAAUGGUGGUGAGACGGAGGUUGAUGGUGUGAGCAGAGGGCCUCUCAGUGCCUGCUUUGAUGCCACCACCCAUACUGGCACACCAGCCAUCGUGGGCUUCAUUGCUGGACGACAAGGUGUUGAGUGGCAUAAUAAGACGGAGGCAGAAAGGAAGAAAGCAGUAAUUGAUGGUCUGUCCUCUACCCUUGGCAGUGAAGCUCAAGACUAUGUAACUUACAUAGAGAAAGUGUGGGCCGAUGAGCCAUAUACAGGCGGGUGUCCAGUUAUGUUUGGUGUUCCUGGAACUAUGUACGCCUUCCCUCACCUGCGUCUCCCAUUUGAUAGAAACGGCAACAGUGUGGACAGGUUUCAUCAGUGGUGCCAUCCAGUCCGGGGAACGAGCUGCAAAAGAAGCCUUACAAUAUUUUCGUCCAGAAUUGUUGACUGAGAAAGAUUUGCUGGGGACAUGUCAUGAUCCAAAAAGGUCUUUACUACCUGCAUCCCAAGUGACAUCAAGAUGGCCAAGUAAAGGGAUCUAUAUUGUCUAUUUGGCUGUUGUGGUUGUGUUAAUUGGUGUUACAUUCUC